rnacentral:rRNA from 1 species
GGGAUAUNGUUNAUGGCCGGGANGGUUAANCAGCAAAGUAGGUGCAGGANGACGCCCUUANNGGGUUGUAAACUGCUUUUAAUAGGGGGAAUAAAAUUGUGANACGUGUACCGUUUUGUAUGUACCCUANGNAUAAGGACCGGCUNAUUUCCGUGCCAGCAGCCGCGGUAAUACGGAAGGUCCGGGNNUUAUCNGGAUUUANNGGGUUUAAAGGGAGCGCAGGCGGGACCUUAAGNAUGUNGUGAAANGUACCGGCUCAACCGNUGAUGUUCAGCNCGAACUGGGGUUUUUGAGUGGGUACGACGUUGGCGGAAUUCGUGGUGNAGCGGUGAAAUGCUUAGAUAUCACGAGGAACCCCGAUUGCGAAGGCAGCCGACGAGUCCCUUACUGACGNUAAUGUUCGAAAGUGCGGGUAUCGAACAGGAUUAGAUACCCUGGUAGUCCGCACGGUAAACGAUGGAUGCCCGCUGUUGGCGAUACAAUGUCAGCGGCCAAGCGAAAGCGUUAAGCAUCCCACCUGGGGAUACGCCGGCAACNGGNAGCCCCNNCC